rnacentral:rRNA from 1 species
UAUCAAUAAGCGGAGGAAAAGAAACUAACAAGGAUUCCCCUAGUAACUGCGAGUGAAGCGGGAAGAGCUCAAAUUUAAAAUCUGGCGGCCUUCUGGACGUCCGAGUUGUAGUCUGGAGAAGUGUUAUCCGCGUCGGACCGUGUACAAGUCUCCUGGAACGGAGCGUCAUAGAGGGUGAGAAUCCCGUCCAUGACACGGACGCCCCGAUGCUAUGUGAGGCACUCUCAAAGAGUCGAGUUGUUUGGGAAUGCAGCUCAAAAUGGGUGGUAAAUUCCAUCUAAAGCUAAAUAUUGGCGAGAGACCGAUAGCGAACAAGUACCGUGAGGGAAAGAUGAAAAGCACUUUGGAAAGAGAGUUAAACAGUACGUGAAAUUGUUGAAAGGGAAACGCUUGAAGUCAGUCGCGUCCCGUGGAACUCAGCCUGGUUUCGACCUGGUGUACUUUCCAUGCCGGACGGGUCAACGUCAAUUUCGGCCGGCGGACAAGGGCGAGGGGAAUGUAGCGUCGCUUCGGCGACGUGUUAUAGCCCCUCGUCGCAUACGCCGGCUGGGAUUGAGGACCGCAAGACGCCCUUGUGGGCCGGGGGUGUUCGCCCCACGUAACGUGCUUAGGAUGUUGGCGUAAUGGCUUUAAGCGACCCG